AGAAAAGUGUCUUAGAGUGUAAUA
rnacentral:siRNA from 1 species